CUGCCGAAUCAACUAGCCC
rnacentral:ncRNA from 2 species